UCACACCUGUGGCCUAGUGGUAAAGCAUUCGCCUACCAUACUCAAGACCAGGGUUCAAGCCCUGGCUGUGAC